AUUUUAUCCGACCAAGGAAGAGAAUUUGUUAACGAGCUCAACUCAAGACUUUGCAGCUUAAUGAAAAUAGAUACGCUGCUGUGACACUCCUAUCACCCACAGACAAAUGGCCUCAACGAAAAGACAAAUGACAACAUAAAAAGAGCCCUGAGAAAAUUAGUCAACAGUCAACAGAAUGACUGGGAUGUGUAUCUGGAUGCUACACUGUUAUCUUUGAGCUCUAAGGUCCACACCACAACCAAAUA